GGCGGCAUGCCUUACACAUGCAAGUCGAACGGCAGCACGGAGCUUGCUCUGGUGGCGAGUGGCGAACGGGUGAGUAAUAUAUCGGAACGUACCCAAGAGUGGGGGAUAACGUAGCGAAAGUUACGCUAAUACCGCAUACGAUCUAAGGAUGAAAGCAGGGGACCGCAAGGCCUUGUGCUCCUGGAGCGGCCGAUAUCUGAUUAGCUAGUUGGUGAGGUAAAGGCUCACCAAGGCAUCGAUCAGUAGCUGGUCUGAGAGGACGACCAGCCACGCUGGAACUGAGACACGGUCCAGACUCCUACGGGAGGCAGCAGUGGGGAAUUUUGGACAAUGGGGGCAACCCUGAUCCAGCAAUGCCGCGUGAGUGAAGAAGGCCUUCGGGUUGUAAAGCUCUUUUGUCAGGGAAGAAACGGUGAAGGCUAAUAUCCUUUGCUAAUGACGGUACCUGAAGAAUAAGCACCGGCUAACUACGUGCCAGCAGCCGCGGUAAUACGUAGGGUGCAAGCGUUAAUCGGAAUUACUGGGCGUAAAGCGUGCGCAGGCGGUUUUGUAAGACUGUCGUGAAAUCCCCGGGCUCAACCUGGGAAUGGCGAUGGUGACUGCAAGGCUAGAGUUUGGCUGAGGGGGGUAGAAUUCCACGUGUAGCAGUGAAAUGCGUAGAUAUGUGGAGGAACACCGAUGGCGAAGGCAGCCCCCUGGGUCAAAACUGACGCUCAUGCACGAAAGCGUGGGGAGCAAACAGGAUUAGAUACCCUGGUAGUCCACGCCCUAAACGAUGUCUACUAGUUGUCGGGUCUUAAUUGACUUGGUAACGCAGCUAACG
rnacentral:rRNA from 1 species